AAUUAGGGUUCUCCCAGCAACGGACACUGCUUGUUAACAACAGCUCCAGGAAAUCACAGUUGAUCCCCAUUAGAAGCGAUGCUAAGAGACGCUCGCGCUACGCGGUCCUCCAGCACACCAGCAGCCUCCCCGGCUACGCAUCUCAUCUGCUGACAGCUCGGCAGACAUCCUUCAGAUUUAGGAAGAUCUGAACUGUGUGUAGUUCAUCCGCAAGCCAGAGUGGAGCCCUGCCUCUCAGCUGCCUCGGUCACUGACUGGUUACUGAGCUUUGGUCUGCCACUUCCAAAGGCACCUCCAACCUCGAGCAAGUCACGCUGCCUUGUGACCUGUUUCCCAGCUAUUGUCUGGCUUCGCUGUUCUUCGUUGCUCUCUGCCUCCAGCUCCUUCCGUGUGCCUCCCCAGGGUACAGGCAUCUCUUGUGGACAAAAGAAGAUCUAGCAGAAGACAGGCCCCAUCCUCCUGUGCAUUUUUUUUCAUCAAUGAAGAACCUUCCCAAAAGCCCACCAGCAGACUUGUCCUCAUAUCCCACUGGCCAGAAUCACAUCACAUAUCCACAGAUAUACAAGUCACCAGUAAGACCAAUGACACUGGUUAUGACUGGUGGGCCUGCAGGCCUGGGGUGACAAGAUUAAUAAAGUCAUUUUUACUUUUAUUUUUAA